rnacentral:rRNA from 1 species
AGAGGAGCCAAGCGUGGUCCGGAUUGACUGGGCGUAAAGCGCACGCAGGCGGUCGUGCACGUGGGGUGCGAAAACUGGCGGCUUAACUGCCAGAGGCCACCUCAUACGGCGCGACUCGAGCCCUGCAGAGGUCCAUGGAAUUGCCGGUGUAGUGGUGAAAUGCGUAGAGAUCGGCAGGAACACCCAGGGGGAAACCAGUGGACUGGGCAGGAGCUGACGCUCAGGUGCGAAAGCGUGGGGAGCGAACCGG